AGAUGUGGCUGAUUAUUGGUGUUAUAGUCAUAGUGCUUAUCAUUAUCAUUGCCGUUAACUUUAUGUAACGCCAGCCGGGAGCUCGUAGGCGGGCGGUGCGGCCCGGCCCAG